GUUCGAACGAACUUCUGGUAUUGAUUGGUGCUUGCAUUCAUGAUUUACAUCUUGAGUGAGUGGCGAACUUGGUGAGUAACACGUGGGAAACCUGCCCAGAAGCGGGGGAUAACACCUGGAAACAGAUGCUAAUACCGCAUAACAACUUGGACCGCAUGGUCCGAGUUUGAAAGAUGGCUUCGGCUAUCACUUUUGGAUGGUCCCGCGGCGUAUUAGCUAGAUGGUGGGGUAACGGCUCACCAUGGCAAUGAUACGUAGCCGACCUGAGAGGGUAAUCGGCCACAUUGGGACUGAGACACGGCCCAAACUCCUACGGGAGGCAGCAGUAGGGAAUCUUCCACAAUGGACGAAAGUCUGAUGGAGCAACGCCGCGUGAGUGAAGAAGGGUUUCGGCUCGUAAAACUCUGUUGUUAAAGAAGAACAUAUCUGAGAGUAACUGUUCAGGUAUUGACGGUAUUUAACCAGAAAGCCACGGCUAACUACGUGCCAGCAGCCGCGGUAAUACGUAGGUGGCAAGCGUUGUCCGGAUUUAUUGGGCGUAAAGCGAGCGCAGGCGGUUUUUUAAGUCUGAUGUGAAAGCCUUCGGCUCAACCGAAGAAGUGCAUCGGAAACUGGGAAACUUGAGUGCAGAAGAGGACAGUGGAACUCCAUGUGUAGCGGUGAAAUGCGUAGAUAUAUGGAAGAACACCAGUGGCGAAAGCGGCUGUCUGGUCUGUAACUGACGCUGAGGCUCGAAAGUAUGGGUAGCAACAGGAUUAGAUACCCUGGUAGUCCAUACCGUAACGAUGAUGCUAAGUGUUGAGGGUUUCCGCCCUUCAGUGCUGCAGCUACGCAUUAGCAUCGCUGCGAGUACGCGCAGCUGAA
rnacentral:rRNA from 2 species